rnacentral:rRNA from 1 species
CCCUUAGUUGUUCUGGGCCGCACGCGCGCUACACUGAUGCAUUCAACAAGCCUAGCCUUGACCGAGAGGUCCGGGUAAUCUUUGAAACUGCAUCGUGAUGGGGCUAGAUUAUUGCAAUUAUUAAUCUUCAACGAGGAAUGCCUAGUAAGCGUGAUUCAUCAAAUCGCGUUGAUUACGUCCCUGCCCUUUGUACACACCGCCCGUCGCUCCUACCGAUUGAAUGUGUUGGUGAGGAGCUCGGAUUGGCAGCAGUUGGUGGUUCGCCACCGGCUAUUGCUGAGAAGUCCUCCAAACCGCCCCAUUUAGAGGAAGGAGAAGUCGUAACA